rnacentral:rRNA from 1 species
UACGUAGGGUGCGAGCGUUGUCCGGAAUUAUUGGGCGUAAAGGGCUCGUAGGCGGUUUGUCGCGUCGGGAGUGAAAACACUGGGCUUAACUCAGUGCUUGCUUUCGAUACGGGCAGACUAGAGGUAUGCAGGGGAGAACGGAAUUCCUGGUGUAGCGGUGAAAUGCGCAGAUAUCAGGAGGAACACCGAUGGCGAAGGCAGGUCUCUGGGCAUUAACUGACGCUGAGGAGCGAAAGCAUGGGGAGCGAACAGG